AAAACCAGAACCGCCCAAAACAGCAUGCAGCUGCAAUGUGUUUCCUCUAAACACUCAUUUGGCUACAUGGGCAACUCGAGCCUCUAUUAAAAACAGUUUUGGCCCUUUUUCCUAGCAACAAGCGUCUUGUCAUCUAACUUUAUUCAAUGUUUAUGUAUUUUUUACUUUGGGUAGAAGUAGUAAUAGUGAUAGGGCGUGUUGUAUACAGUGAUCUCGAGGCGUUAACCGCUUUAUGGGCUAAACUCCAUUCACACAAGCAGGAAGAUUUGAAUCUGCGGCGAGUCUGACGCUCCUGAGAAGUGGGCGUGGCGUCGAGCCGGACAGACUCAAACACAGGCUCCACUCCAUGAAUGAGUCAAGUCACCGACGAGCCGAGAGGAAAAGAAUCAAAUUCAAACUAAAAGAAACAGGAAGGUGCGUUUAGUUCAUUUAUUCGUUGUAUAUAACUUAAGCAGUUUUGUGCAAAAAGCUCACUUAAAUCUCAGUUUAGUCAUUCUAACUGAAGUUAUCCGAGGGCUCACUAAUGACUCUACUAGAAUAAUCGUGGAACCUUAUGUGGUGGUCUGCAUUUGUAACCCAUUUACCUCAAUGUUUGGGCAUGCUGUUCUAUUCUGAGAUGCUCAUCUGUUCAGCACAGGUGGUUCAUCAUGAAAAAAGAGAUUCAAACGACUUUAAAAAUUUCCCAUCUCGAUUUAUCGACUUCAGAACAAACAUCAUUCAUCGUAAUAUUUAAUCUGCUUCAUAAACACAAGCAAGAAGCAAACUGAUCCUCGUGACAGAGAGGAAGAAAAAAAACGGAUAAAAUGCUGAUCUGAGCCUCAGGGAGUCGACGGAACUAAUGAAGGCCACUAGAGAAAGACCCGAUCUACUGUACAAGCUACAGUUCUACACACCUAACAAAACUGAGGACAAGGUCAUCUCAGGUAUCCAUGUUUUUGGAUCUGUAUGCUGCAUCUAUACAUUUAAUGAUAUGUAUAUCUCUAUAAGCUGUAUAUCUGAGCAACAGAUAAUCAUGAUGAGUUGAUGUGAAACCCUGAUAGCAAUGAUAACUGAAGUUGAGUAAUGAAAGGAGCAAAUAAAUAUUACCCUGAAAAAAAAACA